AACGAACGCUGGCGGCAGGCCUAACACAUGCAAGUCGAGCGAAGCCUUCGGGCUUAGCGGCGGACGGGUGAGUAACGCGUGGGAACGUGCCCUUUGGUACGGAAUAGCCCCGGGAAACUGGGAGUAAUACCGUAUGUGGUCGAGAGACGAAAGAUUUAUCGCCAAAGGAUCGGCCCGCGUUGGAUUAGGUAGUUGGUGGGGUAAUGGCCUACCAAGCCGACGAUCCAUAGCUGGUUUGAGAGGAUGAUCAGCCACACUGGGACUGAGACACGGCCCAGACUCCUACGGGAGGCAGCAGUGGGGAAUCUUGGACAAUGGGGGAAACCCUGAUCUAGCCAUGCCGCGUGAUCGAUGAAGGCCUUAGGGUUGUAAAGAUCUUUCAGUGGGGAAGAUAAUGACCGUACCCACAGAAGAAGCCCCGGCUAACUCCGUGCCAGCCGCCGCAGUAACAC
rnacentral:rRNA from 1 species